CAGUCGCCGCGGUAAAACGUAGGGUGCAAGCGUUAAUCGGAAUUACUGGGCGUAAAGCGUGCGCAGGCGGUUCUAUAAGACAGAUGUGAAAUCCCCGGGCUCAACCUGGGAACUGCAUUUGUGACUGUAGAGCUGGAGUGCGGCAGAGGGGGAUGGAAUUCCGCGUGUAGCAGUGAAAUGCGUAGAUAUGCGGAGGAACACCGAUGGCGAAGGCAAUCCCCUGGGCCUGCACUGACGCUCAUGCACGAAGGCGUGGGGAGCAAACAGGAUUAGAUACCCCGGUAGUCCCUGUCUCUUAUAC
rnacentral:rRNA from 1 species